rnacentral:rRNA from 1 species
UACAGAGGUGGCAAGCGUUGUUCGGAAUUACUGGGCGUAAAGGGCGCGUAGGCGGUUCGUUAAGUCCUGUGUGAAAUCCCCCGGCUCAACUGGGGAACUGCACAGGAAACUAGCGGGCUUGAGUUCGGGAGAGGGAAGCGGAAUUCCGGGUGUAGCGGUGAAAUGCGUAGAUAUCCGGAGGAACACCAGUGGCGAAGGCGGUGGCCUGGACCGAUGCUGACGCUGAGGCGCGAAAGCGUGGGGAGCGAUCCGG